rnacentral:lncRNA from 1 species
UGUUGCUCAUGUUUUUCAACACACACAACUGAAACAUUGUGGGAGGUGAAGCAAAGAGAAAGUUGAUGUACUUGCACUUUCGUCUUGAGUUAGGACUUCGGCAAAGUGGUGGCAAUACUUUACAUCAGAUGAGUUGGAGGUCCUAUGUCAAAGUCGAUGUGUUGGAUGGAUGUAAAAUGUAGUAGUAUGGUUGACUGAUGGGGGACCCUCAUGGAGUGGACUUGAGGUGAAAUCUCGAACGAAAUUUUGGGUGAUAUUUGGGAUCGUACCUUCACCAUGAGUUAUAACAUUUGGACAACUGCAAUUUGGUAAUACCCUUUUACAAUAGUAAUGAAAAUAUAAUUGUUUUAGGUCUUAACGUAGAUUUGAUAAUAGCAAUGAAUCGAUUGAAAUAACAAAAAUGUAAAUAGAAAAAUGGUGAUGGUGGUGGUCGUGCUGGUGAUUUCACACUAAUAAAAAGUAAACAACUUCAAAUAUAAGUUGUUUUCCUAUUUUGCCAGGCU